rnacentral:rRNA from 1 species
AGUGAACGCUGGCGGUAGGCCUAACACAUGCAAGUCGAACGGCAGCACAGUAAGAGCUUGCUCUUACGGGUGGCGAGUGGCGGACGGGUGAGGAAUACAUCGGAAUCUACUUUUUCGUGGGGGAUAACGUAGGGAAACUUACGCUAAUACCGCAUACGACCUACGGGUGAAAGCAGGGGAUCUUCGGACCUUGCGCGAUUGAAUGAGCCGAUGUCGGAUUAGCUAGUUGGCGGGGUAAAGGCCCACCAAGGCGACGAUCCGUAGCUGGUCUGAGAGGAUGAUCGGCCACACUGGAACUGAGACACGGUCCAGACUACUACGGGAGGCAGCAGUGGGGAAUAUUGGGCAAUGGGCGCAAGCCUGAUCCAGCCAUACCGCGUGGGUGAAGAAGGCCUUCGGGUUGUAAAGCCCUUUUGUUGGGAAAGAAAAGCAGCAGGUUAAUACCCCGCUGUUCUGACGGUACCCAAAGAAUAAGCACCGGCUAACUUCGUG